rnacentral:rRNA from 1 species
UGGGGAAUAUUGCACAAUGGGCGCAAGCCUGAUGCAGCCAUGCCGCGUGUGUGAAGAAGGCCUUCGGGUUGUAAAGCACUUUCAGCGGGGAGGAAGGCGAUAAGGUUAAUAACCUUGUCGAUUGACGUUACCCGCAGAAGAAGCACCGGCUAACUCCGUGCCAGCAGCCGCGGUAAUACGGAGGGUGCAAGCGUUAAUCGGAAUUACUGGGCGUAAAGCGCACGCAGGCGGUCUGUCAAGUCGGAUGUGAAAUCCCCGGGCUCAACCUGGGAACUGCAUUCGAAACUGGGAGGCUAGAGUCUUGUAGAGGGGGGUAGAAUUCCAGGUGUAGCGGUGAAAUGCGUAGAGAUCUGGAGGAAUACCGGUGGCGAAGGCGGCCCCCUGGACAAAGACUGACGCUCAGGUGCGAAAGCGUGGGGAGCAAACAGG